AUGGCCGCUCCCGCCGCCGCCGCCGCCGCCGUGGAGGUGCUGUUCGACUUCGACAAGACCAUCAUCCAGUGGGACAGCGACGACUGGGUCAUCACCAAGCUCGGGGCCGCCGACGCCUUCAACCGCCUGCGCCCCACCAUGCGCUGGAACUCCCUCAUGGACAGGAUGAUGGGGGAGCUCCACGCGCAGGGGAGGUCGGCCGACGACAUCCGCGAGUGCCUCAGGAGCGCACCGCUCGACGCGCACGUCCUCUCCGCCAUCCGGACGGCGUCGGCAUUAGGGUGUGAUUUGAAGGUGGUGAGCGACGCCAACUCCUUCUUCAUCGAGACCGUCCUGGAGCACCACGGCGUCCUCGGCUGCUUCUCUGAGAUCAACACCAACCCCGCGCGCGUGGACGCCCAAGGGAGGCUCAGGAUCUCUCCGUUCCAUGAUCCCACGACCUCGCCCCAUGGUUGCAGCCUGUGCCCUGACAACAUGUGCAAGGGCAAGAUAAUCCAGAGGAUUCAAGGGACAGACGGUGCCAAGAACAAGCACUUCAUAUACAUCGGUGAUGGGAAGGGGGAUUACUGCCCCUCUCUUAAGCUAGGGGAAGGGGACUAUGUCAUGCCAAAGGAGAAUUACCCCCUCUGGAAUCUCAUCAGCAGCGAUCCCCAGCUUAUCAAAGCUGAGGUUCAUCCAUGGUCUAGUGGCGAGGAAUUCGAAAGGAUCCUGCUUAAGCUGGUGAACAAGCUGAUCACCUUGCAUGCACACGGGUCCCAAUUGGACUACAAAUGCAACAUGAGCAAUCCAGUAUCAACGGAGGUGGGUCACCAUCAGACUCUCCCUGUCCCAAAUUGA
rnacentral:rRNA from 1 species